AACCGUUAUAACCGGCGAUACCCGAAUGGGGAAACCCAGUGUGACUCGUCACACUAUCAUUAACUGAAUCCAUAGGUUAAUGAGGCGAACCGGGGGAACUGAAACAUCUAAGUACCCCGAGGAAAAGAAAUCAACCGAGAUUCCCCCAGUAGCGGCGAGCGAACGGGGAGGAGCCCAGAGCCUGAAUCAGCAUGUGUGUUAGUGGAAGCGUCUGGAAAGGCGCGCGAUACAGGGUGACAGCCCCGUACACAAAAGCGCAUGUGCUGUGAGCUCGAUGAGUAGGGCGGGACACGUGGUAUCCUGUCUGAAUAUGGGGGGACCAUCCUCCAAGGCUAAAUACUCCUGACUGACCGAUAGUGAACCAGUACCGUGAGGGAAAGGCGAAAAGAACCCCGGCGAGGGGAGUGAAAAAGAACCUGAAACCGUGUACGUACAAGCAGUGGGAGCCCCACCACCAAAGCAUUUGCUGUACCGCGUUGACGGAGCGAAGCGACGUCAAACCGAUAAAACAGCAGUGUAAAGUGAGCCGCAGGGCGCUUUGCGCGACAGCGCAAAGGCAGGCGGUUUCGCGUAGCGAAAGCGAAUGCUUUGGGGUGGGGUGACUGCGUACCUUUUGUAUAAUGGGUCAGCGACUUAUAUUCUGUAGCAAGGUUAACCGAAUAGGGGAGCCGGAGGGAAACCGAGUCUUAAUUGGGCGUUAAGUUGCAGGGUAUAGACCCGAAACCCGGUGAUCUAGCCAUGGGCAGGUUGAAGGUUGGGUAACACUAACUGGAGGACCGAACCGACUAAUGUUGAAAAAUUAGCGGAUGACCUGUGGCUGGGGGUGAAAGGCCAAUCAAACCGGGAGAUAGCUGGUUCUCCCCGAAAGCUAUUUAGGUAGCGCCUCGUGAAUUCAUCUCCGGGGGUAGAGCACUGUUUCGGCUAGGGGGCCAUCCCGGCUUACCAACCCGAUGCAAACUGCGAAUACCGGAGAAUGUUAUCACGGGAGACACACGGCGGGUGCUAACGUCCGUCGUGAAGAGGGAAACAACCCAGACCGCCAGCUAAGGUCCCAAAGUCAUGGUUAAGUGGGAAACGAUGUGGGAAGGCCCAGACAGCCAGGAUGUUGGCUUAGAAGCAGCCAUCAUUUAAAGAAAGCGUAAUAGCUCACUGGUCGAGUCGGCCUGCGCGGAAGAUGUAACGGGGCUAAACCAUGCACCGAAGCUGCGGCAGCGACACUGUGUGUUGUUGGGUA
rnacentral:rRNA from 1 species